rnacentral:rRNA from 1 species
GGUGAACGCUAGCGGCAGGCCUAAUACAUGCAAGUCGAACGGUGUAGCAAUACACAGUGGCGCACGGGUGCGUAACACGUAUGCAACCUACCUUACAUUGGGGGAUAGCCUUUCGAAAGGGAGAUUAAUACCGCAUAAGACAGUAACUAGGCAUCUAGUAGCUGUUAAAGAUUUAUCGAUGUAAGCUGGGCAUGCGUCCAAUUAGUUAGUUGGCGAGGUAAUGUCUCACCAAGACGAUGAUUGGUAGGGGAACUGAGAGGUCAAUCCCCCACACUGGCACUGAGAUACGGGCCAGAAUCCUACGGGAGGAAGCAGUAGGGAAUAUUGGGGAAUGGGCGCAAGCCUGACCCAGCCAUGCCGCGUGCAGGAAGAAGGCGUUAUGCGUUGUAAACUGCUUUUAUACAGGAAGAAACGACCCUUGCGAGGGGCAUUGACGGUACUGUAUGAAUAAGCACCGGCUAACUCCGUGCCAGCCGCCGCCGUAA